CAGCAGCCACGGUAAUACAGAGGGUGCGAGCGUUAAUCGGAUUUACUGGGCGUAAAGCGUGCGUAGGCGGCUUCUUAAGUCGGAUGUGAAAUCCCUGAGCUUAACUUAGGAAUUGCAUUCGAUACUGGGAAGCUAUAGUAUGGGAGAGGAUGGUAGAAUUCCAGGUGUAGCGGUGAAAUGCGUAGAGAUCUGGAGGAAUACCGAUGGCGAAGGCAGCCAUCUGGCCUAAUACUGACGCUGAGGUACGAAAGCAUGGGGAGCAAACAGGAUUAGAUACCCGUGUAGUCCCUGUCUCUUAUAA
rnacentral:rRNA from 1 species